rnacentral:tRNA from 1 species
GGAGGCGUGGUGUAGUGGCCUAACACGUCGGCCUGUCAAGCCGAAGAUCGCGGGUCCGAAUCCCGUCGCUUCCGCCA